GGCGCAGGCCCAGACGGCAGCCGACUCUCCCGAGACACAGGGCCGAGAAGAGCCGUCGGCAAACGCACCAGACGGGCGGAAAAAAAGAGCAGGAUGAAGGGAGGAAGAUAUAGCCAGCCAGAGAAGGGAGAAGAGGAGAAACAUCUGGAAAAUAUCAGUGUUGCAGAGCCUCCCGGAAACUGACCUCGCCACCGAAAGGGUGAAUGGGGUCAACAUGGAAACAGCAUGAGAGGGGCCACAGAAGGGAUUCACCAGGAAGAAGAGGAAAGGCGGGGCUGAGGUGGCCAGGACAGCACGACAUCACAUCUGACCAAGGCAUCCUCAGCCUUCCUUCAGAAAAGCAGCAGAAAGAAAAAGGGAUCAAAAAUCACAGUGUGGAACUCAGGCUUGAAAGAAACCUUAGAUGUUGUCUAUUCUUUUUUUUUUUUUUUUUUUUGAGAUGGAGUUUUGCUUUUGUUGCCUAGUCUAGAGUGCAGUGGUGCAAUCUCAGCUCACUGCAACCUCUGCCUCCCAGGUUCAAGCAAUUCUCCUGUCUCAAUCUCCUGAGUAGCUGAGAUUACAGGCAUGUGCCACCCUGCCUGGCUAAUUUUGUAUUUUUAGUAGAGACAAGGUUUCACCAUGUUGGCCAGGCUGGUCUUGAACUCCUGACCUCAGGUGAUCCACCCACCUCAGCCUCCCAAAGUGCUGGGAUUACAAGCGUGAGAUUCCGUGCCCGGCCAGAGAUUGUUUAAUCCUCUACCUGGCUGGUGAAGCAAUCUCCUAUCACAUCACCGGCAACAGACAUUCAUCCAGAAUUGCCUUGACAAACUUUACUACCAGAGACAGCCUCCUUGAAAAAACAACUCCAUUUCCAUCCUAACCGUUAGAAAGUUCCUGUGUAUACUAAACUAAAAUUCAAGUCUAA